UGUCAUGCAGUAUGUAUAUGAACCAGCCUCGUGUGUCAUGCAGUAUGUAUAUGGACCAGCCUCGUGUGUCAUGCAGUAUGUAUAUGGACCAGCCUCGUGUGUCAUGCAGUAUGUAUAUGGACCAGCCUCGUGUGUCAUGCAGUAUGUAUAUGGACCAGCCUCGUGUGUCAUGCAGUAUGUAUAUGGACCAGCCUCGUGUGUCAUGCAGUAUGUAUAUGGACCAGCCUCGUGUGUCAUGCAGUAUGUAUAUGGACCAGCCUCGUGUGUCAUGCAGUAUGUUUUCUGUCAGAUAUGUUUUGUCUUCCCAGAGCUGCCGUGACGGAGGCCGGACUCGUGUGGGACCGCGGAGAUGCCGGGUCAAGCAGGGGAGACAUCACGGAGAGUCACACCAAGAUAGAUAGGUCAAUUUAGGUCAACAUAUGUCCUCAGUGUGUUAGUGAGGAUAGGCUAUCACUGGUUAGCUGUCUAAUCAUUGGGAGUGACUAGUGUGCAGAGCUCGGCAACAUUAUGGAAUACUAAAUGAUAUCAAGUGAUUGUUUUUAGUCUUAAGUUUACUCUCUCCUCCUCCUCCUCCUCCUCCUCCUCCUCUCUGUCUAUCUUCAUCCCUUCCUUCCUUUUAAUAAGUCCAAGUUAUCUUUUGCUUAAUUAACGUUUAUAAUUCUUUAUGGUGGUCAAAUCUUGCAUCUCAUUUCCCUGUCAUCCAUUCUCUCUCCUCCUCCUCCUCCUCCUCCUCCUCCUCUCUCUCUUUCUUCAACCCUUCCUUCCUUUUAAUGAAUAAGUUAUCUUUUGCUUAAUUAACAUUUAUAAUUCUUUAUGGUGGUCAAAUCUUGCAUCUCAUUUCCCUAUCGCCCAUUCUCUCUCCUCCUCCUCCUCCUCCUCCUCCUCCUGCUCAUAAUCCAAUUCCUUCUAUUCUCCUUUAUUCCUUUUUCACUUUCCCUCCUUCCCUUUUCCAUUCCCCCUCCCCGACUUUCCUCCAUUCUUUCCUCCUCUAUUCUUCCUUCAUCUCCUUCUCCUUUUUCUCCUUUCACUCCUCCUCCUCCUCUGUCUAUCUUCAUCCCUUCCUUCCUUUUAAUUAAUGUCUAAGUUAUCCUUUGAGUGACGUUCUUUCUGGCGGUCAAAUCUUGCAUCCAAUUUCCUAUCGUCCAUUCUCUCUCUUCCUCCUUCUCCUCUGUCUAUCUUCAUCCCUUCCUUCCUUUUAAUUAAUGUCUAAGUUAUCUUUUGCUCAAGGUUCCUUCCAGUGUGUUUGUGGUGCCCGGCUCUGCUUGCUAGUUUGUUUUGUCACUGUAUAAUUGUCAAUCCUAGCUAGUUUUGUCACUGUAUAAUUGUCAAUCCUAGCUAGUUUUGUCACUGUAUAAUUGUCAAUCCUAGCUAGUUUUGUCACUGUAUAAUUGUCAAUCCUAGUUUGUUUUGUCACUGUAUAAUGGUUGGUCCCAGCCAGGCGCCUCUUCCAUGUAAAGAUAUCGGCAGCUUCAAGCCUUGCCGAUAUCUCAAUCCGUACGUGAAUGUAAAUUAACCGAAAUCCUUGUUACUAAGCCCUGCACGGUGCUCUCUCUCAUAAUGCUUCUUUAAAUUUUCAGUCUCACUUAAUUUCCGGGGUUAGUAAUAUAUCUUGCCAUAAGUUAACUCCCCGUGAUGGCCAGUUUCAUGUACUAUAUAUAAGUAAUUUGCCUUUUGCAUGGCUAUAAUUCUGCAUCCGUGUCUAAGGCCCAGUUUCACAGUUCCUCAUGGCGGGUUAGUAAGCUCCGAAACCAAUACCAGAGCCUUCGAAAUUUCCUUGUACAGUGUCUGGAGUUUAUAUUCAAGUUCACAAAUUUGACGAGACUAUACAGGAAAGGUCUUGUGUGUUUAUGCUACGAAGGAAAGGGAGGAGAAGGGAGAUGAGAUUAGGAGACGAGUGAGCCGAGAUUCUGUUUAUAUUCAAGUCCACAAAUUUGACGAGACUAUACAGGAAAGGUCUUGUGUGUUUAUGCUACGAAGGAAAGGGAGGAGAAGGGAGAUGAGAUUGGGAGACGAGUGAGCCGAGAUCCUGUUUAUAUUCAAGUUCACAAAUUUGACUAGACUAUACAGGAAAGGUCUUGUUUUUUUAUGAUACGAAGGAAAGGGAGGAGAAGGGAGAUGAGAUUGGGAGACGAGUGAGCCGAGAUCCUGUUUAUAUUCAAGUUCACAAAUUUGACGAGACUAUACAGGAAAGGUCUUAUAUUGUCAUGAUACGAAGGAAAGGGAGGAGAAGGGAGAUGAGAUUGGGAGACGAGUGAGCCGAGAUCCUGUUUAUAUUCAAGUUCACAAAUUUGACAAGACUAUACAGGAAAAGCUCUCUGUUUAUGAUAUGAAGGAAAGGGAAGAGAAGGGAGAUGAGUAAGCUGAGAUCCUGUUUAUAUUCAAGUCCACAAAUUUGACGACACAAUACAGGAAAAGCUCUGUGUAUUUAGUGUGUCAUCGAAGACCGCGCCAUUUUGAACAGUAUGGGAUUCUAUAGCUUGGUUCGGGAGUGUUACAAAGACCAUGAUGGACUGUGGAAGCGGCCCUUAAUGUUCCCUUUUCUAAUAUGCUUCUCUGUUUUUCCAGGAUGCCGCGGACGGACCAUGCAGAGGACUCAUCGCGCCGACACCAACGGUUUGGUUAAGUGGGUUCUUUUGUGUGUGCGUCUGUGUGUGAAUGGCAGGCCUGUCGUAUGAUUGUGUGUGUGUGUGCGCUGGCGGUAUGCCUUCGCACUAUUAUUUUGUUAGGAUGUAUUUUUUUGUGUGUGAACUUUUUGCACGUAAUCUUUUUUUAUACCCAUAGCUAGCGUUUGUUUGUGUGGCAGUGUUCCGGGAGAUGGACGCCGGGGGACAUGGGCUUGGGGAGGCGCACAUGACCUCCUCUGUCCGUGACCUCUUCAGCUGGGGAGACCGUGUGUUGCCCCGCCUGGAGAGACACGUUGAUGGAGGUGGCCGUGUGUGUCACCCUUUGCCUGUAUCCUCUGGCGUCCAGAGGCGCGUAAGUGGAGAGCAUCGGCGCAGCGCGGGAGCAGCACGUCAGGGUGUAGGGUGUUUGUUUAGCUGGUGUAGGGUGUUAGGGUGUUAGGUGUAACAACGGUUGGCUCUUUCACAGAACGGGUGUGAUUCCGUUCUGCGUUUGAGUCUUCCACCUUCAGACGGUCUCCCUCCGAGAUGUCUGAAGUUUUUUUGUCGGUUUUCUCCGUAGGAGGAAG